AGAGUUUGAUCCUGGCUCAGGACGAGCGCUGGCGGCGUGCUUAACACAUGCAAGUCGAGCGGAAAGGCCCUUCGGGGUACUCGAGCGGCGAACGGGUGAGUAACACGUGAGCAAUCUGCCCUUAGCUUCGGGAUAGCUCCGGGAAACCGGAAUUAAUACCGGAUAUGACUAUGGCCGACAUCAGCCAUGGUGGAAAGUUUUUCGGCUAGGGAUGAGCUCGCGGCCUAUCAGCUAGUUGGUGGGGUAAUGGCCUACCAAGGCGACGACGGGUAGCCGGCCUGAGAGGGCGACCGGCCACACUGGGACUGAGACACGGCCCAGACUCCUACGGGAGGCAGCAGUGGGGAAUAUUGCGCAAUGGGCGAAAGCCUGACGCAGCGACGCCGCGUGGGGGAUGAAGGCCUUCGGGUUGUAAACCCCUUUCAGCAGGGACGAAGCGAAAGUGACGGUACCUGCAGAAGAAGCGCCGGCUAACUACGUGCCAGCAGCCGCGGUAACACGUAGGGCGCAAGCGUUGUCCGGAAUUAUUGGGCGUAAAGAGCUCGUAGGCGGUCUGCUACGUCCGCUGUGAAAACCUAGGGCUUAACCCUGGGCUUGCAGUAGAUACGGGCAGACUAGAGGUAGGUAGGGGAGAAUGGAAUUCCCGGUGUAGCGGUGAAAUGCGCAGAUAUCGGGAGGAACACCGGUGGCGAAGGCGGUUCUCUGGGCCUUACCUGACGCUGAGGAGCGAAAGCGUGGGGAGCAAACAGGAUUAGAUACCCUAGUAGUCC
rnacentral:rRNA from 1 species